GACGAACGCUGGCGGCGUGCCUAAUACAUGCAAGUAGAACGCUGAAGGAGGAGCUUGCUUCUCUGGAUGAGUUGCGAACGGGUGAGUAACGCGUAGGUAACCUGCCUGGUAGCGGGGGAUAACUAUUGGAAACGAUAGCUAAUACCGCAUAAUAUUGACUAUUGCAUGAUAGUCAGUUGAAAGGUGCAACUGCACCACUACCAGAUGGACCUGCGUUGUAUUAGCUAGUUGGUGGGGUAACGGCUCACCAAGGCGACGAUACAUAGCCGACCUGAGAGGGUGAUCGGCCACACUGGGACUGAGACACGGCCCAGACUCCUACAGGAGGCAGCAGUAGGGAAUCUUCGGCAAUGGACGGAAGUCUGACCGAGCAACGCCGCGUGAGUGAAGAAGGUUUUCGGAUCGUAAAGCUCUGUUGUAAGAGAAGAACGAGUGUGAGAGUGGAAAGCUCACACUGUGACGGUAUCUUACCAGAAAGGGACGGCUAACUACGUG
rnacentral:rRNA from 1 species